ensembl:lncRNA
AUGAGAGUGCGCUGGAUCAUCUCUGGUUUAGCAUCCACCAGAUCCAGUCUGUAUCCAGAUCAGAGGGUCACUGCAGUCACCCGGAUCCAGUACGUAUCCAGCCCAGAUGGUGGAUCAGCACCUAGAAAGGACCUCUACAGCCCUGAAAGACAGCGGAGGCCUGGACAACUAGAUGAGCCGCAGAGACAGAUCCCCUGUGAAGACCUUGUCUCAGACGACCAUCAGGACAAGACCACAGGAAACAGAUGAUUCUUCUGCACAAUCUGACUUUGCUGCAGCCUGGAAUUGAACUGCUGGUUUCAUCUGGCCAGAGGAGAACUGGCCCCCCGAAUGAGCCUGGUUUCUUCCAAGGUUUUUUCUCCAUUCUGUCACCGAUGGAGUUUUGGUUCCUUGCCACUGUCACCUCUGGCUUGCUUGUUGCUUGCUAGUUGGGGACACUUCAUUUACAGCGAUAUCGUUAACUUGAUUGCAAAUGAUUGCACAGAUACUAUUUAAACUGAACUGAGAUGAAUGACAUCACUGAAUUCAAUGAUGAACUGCCUUUAACUGUCAUUUUGCAUUAUUGACACACUGUUUUUCUAAUUAAUGUUGUUCAGUUGCUUUGACACAGUCUUUAUUGUUUAAAGCGCUAUAUAAAUAAAGGUGACUUGACUCCUCA